CUAUUUCUUGGGCCGCACCUGAGGCAUAUGGAGAUUCCCAGGCUAGGGGUCAAAUUGGAGCUGUAGCUGCCAGCCUACGCCAGAGCCACAGCAACUCGGGACCCGAGCCGCGUCUGCAACCUAUACCACAGCUCAUGGCAACGCCGGAUCCUUAACCCACUGCGCAAGGGCAGGGACCAAACCCGCAACCUCAUGGUUCCUAGUCGGAUUCGUUAACCACUGCGCCACGAUGGGAACUCCUGGAGGAGAUUUUUUAUUUUGUCGCAUCUCUCCAUUGUCUUCAGUGGCUUUCAGCUACUGUGUCACUGAGCUGGUUGGUGUGUGUGGCAGUGAGGGGAGGGUGGGUAUAGCCCCAAGCUAAGAUCACAUCAUGGGGCCUGUGGUCAUACUAUGGUUUAACAUUUUCUCUUGGGAAGAUGAUCUUCAGUUCAUUCUGAGGCCUUGAUUAAUGGCUAAAGUUCUAAAAUAGUUUAUUUUGGUUGUUUUGUCAUAUUUUUGUUGCUUUAGAGGAAAACUGAGUUCAUAAAAGUCCUUACUUUGCAAUUCUGUUAUUUGUUCCCCAAAUUAAACUUUUCAGGUACCAAAUCUGUCCUCCCUCAGCAAGUGAACCUACAAAAACCCUGGGCCAAUGUUUGUUUUUUCUUUUUGUAAUUUCCCCAGGAAAAUAUGUUAAAUGUGUUUAAAUUUUUAUAGAAUUACAUAAAAAUACCAUUAAAAAGAAAAAACAUUUUACCUGAUUUUUGUCCAGACAAUUACUUUCACAGAGAGCCCUAAUGAUAAAGUAUGUAUAUAUUCAGUCUCAUCUUGAAGGUUAUAUAUUUAAUAAAGACAAAUUUUGCAAAGUAGAGAAGAAAUCAAGAAAUUAAAGAAAGUUUCAAGUAAGCUUUCCAUAGAGCAUCUGAUUUGAGAAAUGUGGAAGCAAUAAAAAUCUAUGACAUAGUUAUAUUUUUGCCUGGUCCUGUUUGAAGAAAAAGGCCAUCUUAAUAUUUGGAUUCUUCCUCAUGUUCAUGAAUUCUUCAUCACCCCGCUAAAGAACAGCAGUUUCUCUCCUCCAAGAUUAAACGCUAGCAAGAUGACAAUAUGAUGACUUGUGAAUCAGUAAAUCUUUCAUUCUUUCUGUUAAAAGUAUUUAUUGAGCAAAGUUCUUGGGCUUGUACUGCUUUGACUUCUGGACCUUGUACCCUGGAGGGGCUGCCCCUCCCUGGCUGCAGUGGACACCACGCCCCUCACCUGUGAGUGCACCUUUCACACUGAAACCCAUCAUCCUGAGCCCACACCCCAACCCCCUCACCUAGGGGCUCUCACAGUCUAGGCCUCCAUCCCCUGUGCUCAUCACCCCAGAGCAGGUACCCGUCAACCGGGAAAGCCCUUCUUCACCAGAGUCACUGAAAUAUUCAAAGUAGCCAACCCUAAGCCUGCUGACCUGCCUCCCGAUCCUUCCCAUGAAACCCAAGAAAGGCUCCUGGUCCUCACAGCUUGGGGUCUCCCUGUGUGGCCCCUGGGGUGUGGCCUGUCCUCUCCUCCUGGGAGCUGGAGGAACAAACUCUCUUCUCAAGGCAUCGUCUCCUGACCUGUUGACCCCAUCCCUGAAUAACACUACAACCUGCAUUGUAAAACAGGGCCUGACAUUCCAGUGAGUUUAAUGACCUGACUUCCCAACUUCAGAGCCACUGCAAUGAGCUGAGACAAUAACAGAUGUACAGCCUGUCAGAAACGUUCACGUUCGAACAAAUGUGAGGGAUUACCAUUAUCAGGACCUGUACUUUCCAAGGAUUUUGUUGUUCAAACAUUUCGUAGGCCUCGCCCACAGGGUUAACUCUGCAUGGUACAGAGAGGGACAGUGUUUCUUACGUGAACCUCCGGACCAGAUGUCUGGGUCACACAUUAAACAACCCAUUCUCAACUCCCACAGGCCAUUGAAACACAGACAGGAGGGCAGCCAUGGUUGCACCCUCCUGUGUGAAAACAGGCAGACAGAAACGAGGCACAGGCAACAUCCACAAAAAAGGCCAAUGUGUUCAGGACAUCGAAGUGGUGAACACUGUAAAGUAAAUACUUUUUUAGGUAGAAUUAACAUGCAUUCAUCUUUUGCCAACUUCAUUUAACAUUUCCCACAAAUGUAUUAAAUGCCUCUCUUACUAAGUGAGCUCUGAAACCACCACCUGCAAGUUCUACUUGCAGGUUUUGCAGAUCAUGUGUGUCCCUAACGAAGAGGCAACAAAGAUAUGAAGUGUUCAGAGCUCCGUCUUUGCCCAUGAGUGAAACACUAUACGAUGUUGCUGCUCAAGGUUCUGCCACCUCCCUCAGGCAGAGACCCAGGAGGGGAAGGGUCUUUGUUGGUCCACUGCUGCAUUCUCGGCCCCCUGCCCAUCUGUCUUUGUCAGAAAAGAGGAUGAAUUCACAAAAUGCACUCUCCCCAGGUGACACUGUGGAACUGGUAAUCUCUGUCCAAAAUUCAAAGAACAGCACAAUUCCCAAAAGAAAACCAGAAGGGCUCAGGAAUGAUCAAAAGAUCUUUCCUUGCCUUAGGACAGUGGCCUGGAAUCACAAAAAAGUAUUAAAAUUUGGUAGCACUGACUAACAUUUUGCUGGCAGUAAAGGAAUAUUUAAAAGUAGGAAACACAGUUUAAAGUUAAAUAACUCCAUCAAAACCUUCAAAAUUAUGAACUGUCACAUAUCUUUGGAGAAAACUGAAAUACUAGUUCACGGACAUUCCUAAAUAAGACCAACAGUAAGAAUCAGGGUCAAGUGUCGUGUUCUUUAAAAUAUGGUUUUUGUUCCUGAAAACUUUUUGGUAGGAGUACUUCUCUCCCCUUCAGAAGCCUUUUUAAGGAAAAAGCUAACAGGCAUCAGAGCUGGACUUCAUAGGACGUCUGUCCCUGCUUGUCACUCUUCUGAUUCUUCACAUGUUCUCGCUGUGAGGCGGAUUCACUAACGACACGAAAACCCUCCCAUUAACAACCGCAAGGCCUGUGCACCUACUUCAGUGCCUGCCAUGUGCAGUUACAUGAAUAUCCCUAUGCCUGCAUUGAAGGACAAACCAGAUAUGCAACAUAAAUCAUUUAAAUUUGUCUCUAUUUUAUCCAUAUUCAACAUGUCCCAGUGGCAUAUAUAGUAUUGAUUUUUGGAAAAUAUUUCACUAUUAUUAAAAUGAAUGAGCAACAGAGUAACAUGAAGAAUUAGUCUCUAAAGAAAAUGACACAACUCUUUUUCUGUUGAAGUGAAUAAAGAAAUUUGAAAUAACAGCAACUAAUUGCCCUCUUGUCCUCCACCUGCCCAAAUAAAAAGGAUUCUUUGAGAGAGGGCUGCACGUUGGGCUGUUGCAGUUGACCAGUCACGCAGUUCGCACACUGGGCACCCUCCCCUUCCUGCCCACUGGGAAACUUCUAAUCAAGCAUCCUACAUUACCUCCGACCUACAAGUUCAAAGCCUGUCUUUGGAAAGCUCUGGCUGAAGGCAUGGACGCUCAGGCCCCCUAAGCAGCCACAGUAUUGAGAGUCUGUACAGGGGAGAUUUAGUGAAUGUGCUUUUAAACAUCCACCAUUAAGAGAGCUUCUUGGAACUUGAGAUAAUGCAGUGGCACCUCCAUGGGCACCUAUGGAAUUUGUCAUUCUUAGAAAAGAAAAAACUGUAUUGAUGAUUCUUGAAGAUAUGUGAUUUCUUAUCUGUGUUUUGUAAUCAUAGAAUACAUUCAAAUUUUGUUCUGUGAAGUUAAUCAUUUGACUAGUUUACCACUCUGAACACUAGGAAUUGAUAAAAUCACCAAACGGACCAGGGGCAGCCCUUGCUAACUGUGUGAUCACAGCAAGCUCUUAAAAUUCCCUGUGCUGCAGUUUCAUCAUCUGUAAAAUGAGGAAACGGGCUUAUGAGAUUGUGUGAUGAUUAGAAUAGUACCAGGAAUAGGUGAACACAAUUUUUAUUAUAUGUAGAUAUUGAGUGGACCUGAUUGCAAGGUAGCAUGAAGAGAACCAGCAAGUGUUAACUCUUUUAUUUGUAUCCAUAUUAAUAACUUUCUUUUAAAGACAAUCAAUUGGAAAUAUUCAUCAUGAAGGCAAGUUAAUUAAGAAGUUCAGAUCAUUUAUUCCAGACACAGAUAUAGAGAUGGCGGGUGUGGCAGUGGUUGGUUCCUGAACUGCAGAACGAAAGGAACAAAGCUGUGCCACCCACCCCAAGCAGAGAGCUCAGGCUGGAGCUCAGACCACAGACCCCUUCCUUCAACAUGUAUCUGUGACACAAGUAAACACACGAAAGCAAGUGUCAGUCUGUGCCCUUCAGAACCAGAGGCAGAGUGAUCUGCAUUGCCCACACAUUUCCUUGGCUAGAGCAGUGUUUAUACUGAAUUUCUGUACCAUGCACAGUGGGGACAUGAAACUCCACAUACUCCCACUAUCAGAAUUACAGUUUAAAAAGCACAGCAACUGGCAUCAAAGCUCACAUUUUAAGUGGGAACUGAGCGCUAUAUAACAAUCAGUACAGUCAGAGGAUGCGGCAGUCCCGCAGAAGAAGGGUGUGUGGCCAGAAGUGACAACCUGGCCACUCACAGCUCCACUAGUAGACACAGGCGGUGUCUUCACAAAGGAUCACAGGGACCCAAGUUUGAUAAAAAUUAGAUAAAAUCUAACAAGUCAGUAAUUAAUUAAUUCUCUAUAAGAGGCAAACUGUGAGGUAGGGCAAUGGAGAUUACAGGAACGUGACUUGACGUAACUACUUAAGUGCUGUUAGAAAAUGCCCCGGGGCCUCUUUGAACCAGAUUUAAGUUUGUAACUAUGGACAAGGACCUGCUUCACCACCGGCGGGGGUGGCACGUAAUGUGCCUGUGGAAAUCCCAGCAGGACCAUCUACAAGCCUGAUGAGGAACUGAUGCCUUUCUCCCCAGG
rnacentral:lncRNA from 1 species